GAUGAAGAACGUAGCGAAAUGCGAUACGUAAUGUGAAUUGCAGAAUUCAGUGAAUCAUCGAAUCUUUGAACGCAUAUUGCGCUCUCUGGUAUUCCGGAGAGCAUGCUUGUUUGAGUAUCAGUAAACACCUCAACUUCCAUAUCUUUUUUGAAAUGGGAGUUGGACUUGAGUGAUCCCAACGCUUUUCCUCACCGAAAAGUGGCGGGUUACUUGAAAUGCAGGUGCAGCUGGACUUUUCUCUGAGCUAUAAGCAUAUCUAUUUAGUCUGCCUAAAAAACAGAUUAUUACCUUUGCUGCAGCUAACAUAAAGGAGAUUAGUUCUUGUGCUGACUGAUGCAGGAUUCACAAAGACAGGCUUCGUCCGACUUUGUAAACUCGAUCUCAAAUCAAGUAAGACUACCCGCUGAACUUAAGCAUAUCAAUAAGCGGAGGA
rnacentral:misc_RNA from 1 species